rnacentral:rRNA from 1 species
GACGAACCGUGCGACCGUUAUUCGGAAUCAUUGGGCUUAAAGGGCGCGUAGGCGGCGGCGUAAGUUGGAAGUGAAAUCCCAUCGGCUCAACCGUGGAAUUGCUCCCAGUACUGCGUCGCUCGAGGGGGAUAGGGGUCUGCGGAACUACCGGUGGAGCGGUGAAAUGUGUUGAUAUCGGUGGGAACGCCAGUGGCGAAAGCGGCAGACUGGACCCUUCCUGACGCUGAUGCGCGAAAGCUAGGGGAGCAAACGGG